AGAGUUUGAUCCUGGCUCAGAUUGAACGCUGGCGGAAUGCUUUACACAUGCAAGUCGAACGGCAGCACAGGAGCUUGCUCCUGGUGGCGAGUGGCGAACGGGUGAGUAAUGCGUCGGAACGUAUCCAUUAAUGGGGGAUAACGCAGCGAAAGCUGUGCUAAUACCGCAUACGCCCCGAGGGGGAAAGCAGGGGAUCUUCGGACCUUGCGUUAUUGGAGCGGCCGACGUCUGAUUAGCUAGUUGGUGAGGUAAAGGCUCACCAAGGCGACGAUCAGUAGCUGGUCUGAGAGGAUGAUCAGCCACACUGGAACUGAGACACGGUCCAGACUCCUACGGGAGGCAGCAGUGGGGAAUUUUGGACAAUGGGCGCAAGCCUGAUCCAGCCAUUCCGCGUGAGUGAAGAAGGCCUUCGGGUUGUAAAGCUCUUUCGGCAGGGAAGAAACAGUUGAGGCUAAUAUCCUUGACCAAUGACGGUACCUGCAUAAGAAGCACCGGCUAACUACGUGCCAGCAGCCGCGGUAAUACGUAGGGUGCGAGCGUUAAUCGGAAUUACUGGGCGUAAAGCGUGCGCAGGCGGUUUUUCAAGUCUGAUGUGAAAGCCCCGGGCUUAACCUGGGAACUGCGUUGGAAACUGAAAGACUAGAGUGCGGCAGAGGGGGGUAGAAUUCCACGUGUAGCAGUGAAAUGCGUAGAUAUGUGGAGGAAUACCGAUGGCGAA
rnacentral:rRNA from 1 species